ACUGAAACAUUAAUUGUUUGAAAAGCUUGAAAAGUGUAUACUUCUGGUAUCACACUACCGAAGAUGUUUAAUUGCUCUGGAGAUUCAUCAGAAUGUAUGGGAUGGGCUGAGGUACAAGGAGAGACCGCAUUGGUGGGAACAAUGUUCUCCUGGAGCAUCCAACGUUGAGAGGUGAUCUUAAAGAAGACAAGGAUCAUGAGGUGCAUCGAUAAUAUAAAUGGAGACCGCCUUUUCAAGCACCAGGGGACGGUUGUAAAACUCAAGGGGAUAGAUUUUACGUAAGAGAAGAAAGACUAAAAGGGGACAUUUUAUCCACAGACAAUGAUGGGGAUGUGGAAGGAGCGACUAUAGAAAGUGGUAUGGUUGAGUGCAGCUAGAGGGUUUAAAGGAUAUCUUUACAGGCUAAUGGAUAGUACCUGAUCACAGGGUUAUGGGCUAAACGCAGGCAAAUGGCGUGAACUCAAGUGGGCAUGGACCAUCUGGAAGGAACCACACUUGCUGUUCAUUGGUAUUCUGUGAUUCCAGACAGAGGCCUGAAUAACAAGGAGAGUUUUAAGAAGAAGAGUGUGAGGUUUAGAGGGGAUCUGAGGAAUAAUUGCCUCAGAAGGUUACCAUCAGGAACAUAAUGACGGAGGACAUGUUGCAGGCAGGUAUUUAAAGACCAUCUCUUUGAGCAUUUGAAUCACCAAGGCAGAGAAGGCAAUAGACCAAACGCUGAAUUGGAGAAGGCAAAUAACUGGGAUAUAAUGAUGAGCUGAAAUCCCUGUUUCAUUACUUAUACGCCGGUUUCUUAGCUGUUACACAGGCCUUUUGAUCAUAGUUAAAGACUGUGAAGUUUUAUGAGCUUUUUUUUUUAUUUAGACGCCUUGUGCAGGUGCCGGUGGGCAAGUUAUACACGGGUUUCUGAGAUAGAGAUUGGGAUCCCACAAGACAGUAUUUAUUAUUUCUUAUUAUAAUUAAUACUAUUUUCUCUAAGAUAGGUACAGGGGUGGGGAAAUCACUACUUAGAUGAUGGAGUUUUAAGGAUUGGAGUUAGAAAUGUCAAUUUAACUGUAUAUAGGAUGCCAUUAGCAAUUAAUUAGUUGGCUAAUCGAUGGACAAGCUCUCAGUGGCAAAAAAAUAAAGUCGAGUGAUUUAUAAACAGGAUUAAUAGAAGACGUGUCAGUGGUGAGAAGUGGCAGGUGGAUGCACAAUGAGCUGACAUGGAAGCACCGUAUCAUAAACUAAUUGAUAAAUAUGAAGGAGCAAUAAAUAUUCUCGGUGUCUCUGUGGAUAUUCUUCGGGAGCGACAUGAAAAUCUCUGCUGACCAUUUACAUCUGUUUCAUUAUAUCAUGUCUUGAUUCUGUGGCUCAUGGAUCAGCUUCAUCUCCAACUUUCAAAUGUUUGGCUGUGAUACAAGCACAGGCUUUAAGAUUCUGUUGUGGUGCAGUAAGGCCGUCUCCUGUUUCCGGUUUACUGAUUGAUUUUGCGGAGAUUGACUUUAAUGUUAAUGUACUGGAUUAAUUUGAAGGAGCAAAGAAAUGAUCAUCCUGUUAGAGGUGUGUCGGAGGACUGUUGGGAACAUCACAAGAAGAGUGUUAUAGUUUUGGGUGCUUGGGUUCUUCUUACACUGGGAAUGUGGGUUCGUUGAAUUAUGCAAUAUGUUCCACUGUGGCAUUCCCGGUAACCCCAACUUGUUUUUUUUAAUGCCUUUAUUGAUUUUGGGGCACACGAUUUAAUAAAGUCUCAGGAUUUUGUUAUGCCUGAGAAUCUGUUAGUUCAUUGGUAUAUUAAGGAAAUUUAUUGUGAUAUGUUAACCAUUUUACAGAAGGAUCAAAAUAUAAUUUAACUGGACUGUUGGUGUGGCUGUUUUUGUGCCCAGAUUACAGGUAACGAUAAAGAAACAAGAUUGACCGAUUUCUGGAGAACAACAUUCUCGAUGUCCGCAGGGAACAGGGAGAACCCAGAGGGUUCGAUGGCGUGGUCCAGUGUCUCCUCCGUCAACCAGGGAUCCACAAAGCACAAAACGUUACUUUAUUUUGUUUCCCGCAGAUCCAAUGAGGUACCGAGUUUCCAGGCUGGUGCUCUGCCGCGUCCCACACACACACACUCGUAUCCUCCCGCAACUGCCGGUCGGUGGGACAAUCCGCCCGGGAAUAAACAUAGAAACCUCCGGCACAAAACAGGAGGUUGCUGUGCCGAACAUGUCCUCACCUUGGAAACACCUGGGAGAUGAGGCGGUGAAUGUGAGGAGCUGGAGCCUGGAGCGGAGACACUGUGGCCGCCUCUGCCGUGUGCUCAGGUCGCGGCUUUAUUAAUGAACUGAAGCCCCGAGGUGACCGGAUAUUUCACCGGCUCAUCACCUGAUAACGUCUGACCGGCGCAAUGCCCACGCACACAAAAAGGGAACAAACUGGCCUCUCCCGGAAACCACAGCCCUUCGUCUUCUGAGAGAACAUUGCUGCUUUCCGAACAACGAAGAAUUACACAACAUCUAUAAUUCACUGUGCGAGUCAACCGUCAUCACAGUGCGGGUUGGGGGAUGUGCGGAUGGGUGUGUGGCGGGGAAACGGGUAACAGAAAAGGGGGAAGAUUACGGAGGAAUGUGUGGAGGAAACAGUGGGGCAGUGUGGCUGAGAAUGGAUGAAGAGAGGAGGACAGGGAGAAAGAGAUUGAGGCUAUAUAUAUUUAGUCUCUCUCUCUCUCCUCCACUCUCCCCUCCCCCGCCUCUUCUGUAGCACACAAAAAGGGAACAAACUGGCCUCUCCCGGAAACCACACCCCUUCGUCUUCUGAGAAAACAUUGUCACUGUCCAAACAACGAAGAAUUGCACAACAUCAGACAAUUCACUGUGCGAGUCAAUCGCCAUCACAGUGCGGGGUGGGGGACGUGGGGACGGGUGGGUGCUCGGGAAAACGAGCUGCAGUAAAGGAGGAAUUGGGGUGAGGGUGAGAGGUAGGGGAAGCGCUCGGUAGAAAGGGUGAAAGAGAUUAUAAGGGGAGAAGAAGGGGAGUGAGUGACUGAGUGGGUAGGGUAAGGAGGAAUGUGCUGAGGACAAGGGUGUGUCAGUGGGGAAGGGAACAGAUGAAGAGAGGAGAGAGAGAGUGUGUGUGGAAGAGAGGGAAAUAGGUGAGGUGGGAGGAGGAAGAGAGAAUGAGGGAGUGGGAGACAAGAGAUGGAGAGAAAGAGACAGUGAGGAAAUGGGGAAGCAGAGGUGGCAAAAGUGGGAAGGGGUGAAAAUGGGGGUAGGAAAGUGGGGAGAGUUUGAGCCAAAGAGGAGGAAAAAGAUAUUUUACAACUUUACAAUCCCUGGUUCUGAUUGCCACACUUUGACCAUGGAUGUCCAGUAUCAAUUUACUUCUGUCCCCAGCAGGAAAUCCUGAAAGCACAUCGUUUGCUUCCCGACAACAGCCCCCACCAAUUCCCCUUCAUCGACACUUUAAACGGAGUCAGAGAGCACUUUUACAAACAAACAAACACUUUUUCCCACUUAGUCCGUACCGAAUUAUUAUUUUGCCGAGUCCCAUAACCGCAGCUGGACCAUCGCACUCAAUACCCCUGAUCCAAACUUUUCUACAAUGAAAUCCAUAACUUCUACUGGCAGCUGUU